rnacentral:misc_RNA from 1 species
CGCACAUUGCGCCCCUUGGCAUUCCGAGGGGCAUGCCCGUUCGAGCGUCAUUAAAUCCAAUCAAGCCUGGCUUGGUGUUGGGCGUCGGGAUCGUCCCGCGCCUCAAUUUCGUCGGCUGCCCGUUGGCCCAAUAUAACCGUGUUGUGACCUUUGUAUUUCACGCUUUGAGGGGCGGGCCACGCCGUUAAACGUUCAAUUAAAUUGAUUAAGGUUGACCUCGGAUCGGGUAGGAAUACCCGCUGAACUUAA